GCCAUUGGCGGCGACAUGAACUUCCUUCCGUUUGUUCUGCUGAUGUGCGUCUGUGCGACGGCCAGUGGGUUAUCGGUGUCGUGCCCCAUCUGUGACCCGCAAAAAUGUCCCGAGGUUAACCGCGAUUCUUGCAAGCAUGGGUUAACCCUCGACAUCUGCAGAUGCUGCUCACAGUGUGGAAAAGGACCAGACGAACCUUGUGACCCGUUUAGGGAGUGCGGCGAAGGCCUGUAUUGUAAACUGCAUACAUAUACCUGGGGUAACGGCAUCUGCAAACCGAAAGAGAGGUGAUUCUGUGUCGCAAGAUUCCUUAUCGUGUCUGAAAAGUGGAAAACAAGAGUUCACCUCUGGAUGUGAGACCUCAGUUGGUGUUGGGUACAAGUCGCGCUAGCCGGACGAAAGGCGAAUCCCGAAAAUAGCACCGCACAUUCAGUGUUUCUUUGGAGAAAACCAUCGUAUCAGUUCAGCGUUAAUAUUAGUAAACAAUGACGCUUUCCAUCGAUGAUGCUUUUACGGGCCACUUCAUGACGGAGUUCAUUGCUUAAUUCAUCCAUAGAUGUUCUUUUCAAAUUCCUGCUUUUCUAAUCCUUAUGACUGGUGUUUUUGGCGUGUCGGAGUGGGUUCCCAGAACAGAAUAGACUAAUGUGACCACCCCUUUUCUUAGCUGCGAUAAGGACAUAUCAUUUUUUCACCAGUACAUGAAUCCCUACCUAAAUAUAUGGUAUAUAUGUAUUUAAUUAAUAG